rnacentral:tRNA from 1 species
GCAGUGGUCGUUCAGUGGUAGAAUUCAUCUCUUCCAUACAUGAGACCCAGGUUCAAUUCGCAGCCAAUGCA